rnacentral:rRNA from 1 species
UACGGGGGGGGCAAGCGUUGUUCGGAAUUACUGGGCGUAAAGGGCUCGUAGGCGGCCAACUAAGUCAGACGUGAAAUCCCCAGGCUUAACCUGGGAACUGCGUCUGAUACUGGAUGGCUUGAAUUCGGGAGAGGGAUGCAGAAUUCCAGGUGUAGCGGUGAAAUGCGUAGAUAUCGAGAGGAACACCUGCGGCGAAGGCGGGUUGCUGGGCUGACACUGACGCUGAAGUGCGAAAGCUAGGGGAGCGAACGGG